rnacentral:rRNA from 1 species
UACAGAGGGUGCGAGCGUUGUUCGGAAUUAUUGGGCGUAAAGGGCGCGUAGGCGGCGCCACAAGUCACUUGUGAAAACUCUGGGCUCAACUCAGAGCCUGCAAGCGAAACUGUGGUGCUGGAGUAUGGGAGAGGUGCGUGGAAUUCCCGGUGUAGAGGUGAAAUUCGUAGAUAUCGGGAGGAACACCGGUGGCGAAGGCGGCGAUCUGGGUCGAUACUGACGCUGAGGUGCGACAGCGUGGGGAGCAAACAGG